ACAGUACAGCUUCUCCAAGGAUUUAUCUCCAGUGGUGCUUGCCAGCACACUUCCACUAAUCACAGGUGAAACCCUACAUCCAACUGGCGGGUUCUUCCCAGUUCCCAUUUCUCCUCAUUCCAGAACCCAGAAGCAGUUGUACGAUCAAAGGAGGAACUCUGCUGCACUCAUGGUUAAGGCCAAUGUCAAUACAUGGUUUGCUUUAAACACAGUGGGGAUUUUUUGAACAUUGAUGGAACAUUCUGAGAGGGAGUGUGUGGUUGCCUUUGCCUGGCCAUCCUUGUUCAUCAGAUGAAUCAGUCAGUGCUGGGGGUUAGAUCUGCAUCCAUGGAAGUUCUUUUGAAGCUACCAAUUACAUUUCUAAUCUCACAUCAUCUUCAUAAGAAAGAUUGCUUUCCAUCACUGGAUAAGGAAACUGAACAGAGUCCAUAAGGGAGAGCGAGUUGUCUUUUGUUUAGGGACUCCUGGGCAGUGACCUGUUUCUAGAUAUUCAGCACUGCUGCUCACCAGCACCUGGAGGUCUAUGACAACCCCUAUUCUGACCCAGAGAAUGAAUCUGUGUAAGGACUCAUGACGCUCUACUGAUUUAGCCCAUGCAGACAUUGGGAAAUUACCCUCCUGGCCUUUCCUAUGUGGUGCGGGCAUUCAACAGGGGAUCGGGCCCUCAGGAGAGGAAAAGCUAGGAGAUGGUUGUGCUAUCAUGUUAAUAUGGUUCAUUUCUUCAGCAACUCGAGCGCUGUUGUGACACGUUAGGAAAGAAGGCCUUGAAAAGUUGCUGGUGUUUGUGAGAAGAUUUGAUGCCUUCCUUGCUAGCAGCUGUCCUGCUCUCCUAUCAAGUGCUUGCAUCCUGAAUCUGUCACCAGGACCCACAGCCAUGCCCUUGGACGCUCCCUCCUCCAGAGUCAAGAAGCAAACAAGCCUUUUUCUUUGAAAGUGCUGAAUUAAAAUGAUGAAAUCAUGCAUUCCAGUAAUAUCCACGUCUGCAUGUCUUUAAGGAAGAUUCAGGUAUGCUUCUAUCCUAUUUAAAUAAGACUUGUAAUUUCCUGCUAGUCCAAUGGAGAACAUGAAGACUUUUACAAUAUCCCAAAGAAUAAAUGAGAAAGAGUUAAAAAUAAAAAUCUCAACUCUUCAAUAAUUCACCAUAGAGAUAUUUUUCAUAUAGGUGUUUUAAAAGUUAACAAACAUUGUCUCCUAACAGACCUAAAAU